GGUUUUUUAAUCAUCAAUUGGUUGAGAUGGAGAUGGAGAAGGAGGCGGCAUCGGUCGGCCCUUUUCACGUUGAAUCUCUUCAAAAAUCAAAACCCUCAUCAUCAUCUAACCAAAGGAGGCGGCAUCGGUCGAUUAAUUAGGGUUUCAAAACCCUCACGUUGAUUUUUUUUGAGUGAAGUUCUUACUGAGGCGAUGGCUUCUUCAUCAGCACCGCCAGUGCAGAAACCGUGAGAAGUACAAUCAGGAGGCUCGGGGAGCAGAAGGAGAGUUAGAUCUUUCAUGUGUACUACACCAAAGUGAGUUGCGAUCGGUUCGUUCCUCGGGCCGUGCUCAUGGACCCGAUAACUUAGUGUGGACUAGAGUUUCUGACCUUUGGAACUCUGAGUAAACCUUUGAAAAACUAUUGUUUCAGCUUUAUUUUUCCUCAAAAAUUAUGUUUUUAUGUGACUAAUUUGU